GACGAACGCUGGCGGCGUGCCUAAUACAUGCAAGUAGAACGCAGUUGCGAACGGGUGAGUAACGCGUAGGUAACUCCCUCAUAGCGGGGGCUAACUAUUGGAAACGAUAGCUAAUACCGCAUACUGUGCGAUAGACCUUCGUUGUAUUAGGUAGUUGGUGAGGUAAAGGCUCACCAAGGCGAAGGUACUUAGCCGACCUGAGAGGGAGAUCGGCCAAAAUGGGGCGUGGACAAGGCCCAGAAUCCCAAGGGAGGAAGGAGUAGGGAAUCUUCGGCAAUGGAGGGAAGUCUGAACGAGCAACGCCGCGGGAGUGAAGAAAGUUUUCGGAUCGUAAAGGUAUGUUGUUAGAGAAGCGGUAACUAAAGAGAAAGGGACGGCUAACUACGUGCCAGCAGCCGCGGUAAUAC
rnacentral:rRNA from 1 species